GCGGCGGGGUAUGAAGACACUGAGGUCCACGAAACUGCAGGCCUGAUGAGGUCCAGCUCAACGAGACAGGUGGCGCAUCACAGGCCCGCACAGGGGACCUCUGCCCACCCCUGCAGGGAGACGUGCCUUGCCACACCACAACCAGCCACAGGCCCUCUGCUCAGCAGCCGCCACACCGUGCAGUGACUGGCUUUGCUCCCUCACACCCCUCCACCAUGAGCUUCCUGGAGCAGCUGACCACAGACCGAAG